GGAAGAAGAAGAGGACAAAGAAGAGGUGGAGGAAGAAGAGGAGGAGGAGAAAGAGGAGGAGGAGGAUAGAGAGGUUGACGGAGAUAUUGAUGCAAGACUUGAUGGCAACGACAGCGCAGGAGAUGAUGACGAUGAAGAAGAUGAGGAUGUUGAUCGUGAUGAUCAAGGGAAAGAGGGGGGAGACAUCAACAGAGGUGAUGACAAUGAUGACAGGGGCCCUGGUUCUGGGGGUAUAGGCGGCAACACAACUAGGGGGGCUAGCAGCACUGACAAUCCUGACAGCAGCAGCAACUCAAUGAACAGCAAGAGCACACUACAGAUGUGGAUGGACAAAACUUGCUGGAAGGAUGAGGAUUUUCCAAAGUCAAAGAAAAAUGAUGAACCAUUGUCUCACGAGGGCAUUGACAUGUUCAAGCUUUGCAACUUGAAGACCGUUUUGCCAACCCCUUUUCAUGUUCCAGAUUUUCAUCUUCAAGAGAUGUUUGAGAAGACUAAUUUCGCCGUUGAGCAACAGUUGUUUUUCCUAAGUCGGGCUAAAAAGAACUGAGUUGAUAUGGAGGAAGCAGGGAAGGUUAUUGACUGGUGUCAUUCAAAGUCAAAAUACAAGGAAUAUUUGAGCAGGAUCCCUGAACCAAGACGUGGCAAGAGGGAGGCAACAUUCGUGGCAAAUCUUCCUAUGAUCCAUAAGUGCAAGACACUUUCAAUGAAGAAAAAUUUGAAGUUGCCUGAAACCAAGCAACCGGUGUUGUGGGAAGAUGCUGAAAUAAAUUCGGAGAAGGAAACUACCUCCGCUGCUGACUUGGCACCAACUGCUGUGAGGAGGGAGCCAAACACUACUGAACAGGGACAGCUGUCCAUGUUGAGCCUACAACUGUCCCAGAAGUUCAACACUUCAAGGGGAAGACCCCUCUAUCAGCGCUACCACCUAAACUAGUUAAGCAGAAGAAGACUGUUAAGUUUUCCAAGGGCGCAAAGGGGGAAUAGGUCAGGAAAGUUGUGGGGCUGAGGCAGGAGCCACAAUAGCGCGUCAUUGCAAUUGAUGCAGGAGUGCCAAGUUCAGCCAGCUUUCUGGCAACUGAGGUUGAAAAGAUGACAACUGAAGCUACUACUGCACCAACUGAAUUCUCAAUUAGCAGCGGGGUCACAGUCAGAACUACCACUGUUGCUCAGGAAGCGACCACUGCAACUGCAAGGCCCAAGGUGCCAACUCCUACAGCUGCAUCAAUGUCAAAUGUCAAUGGACAUGAACAAUCUGCCCAACUCCCAUCUCCAAGAGCUAACACACAAUAGCCAAGCAAGCUUGCAUCACCAAGAGCUGUUUUUCCGUGCACAUUGACACAGAAGGAGGUGUUCAGUAUUGAAGCAAGUGCAAGCCUCCUAGGUCGCCAACUACAACACUCUUGCGAACCAAGUCAGCUAAUGAUGCACCAGUGAGUGUGCCGCAACUGUAAGCAGGGACCCUAGGCCAUCAACCCAUAUGCGGUCCAAGCUCAUACACCUUUCAUGGCGACGGUUCUGGAGAUGUGCCAACUUUUGACCUUGGUAUAGAUGAUACCACCAAGCAUGCUAUAGCAGCAUAAACAGGAGAAGCAAAUCUAGAUUCAGUAAGAGUGAAUGAGGCAUGUGUUGCUGCUGAUGCUGGCAAAGGAAUAGUUCACCCUUCGAGAUGUUGCAUCACGAGACAGCUGCCACGCCCCGAUCUGUGGACAAGCAAAAGUUGGCACGAGCGGUUCUUUAGGACCAGUUGUCGCACGAAGACAGAGGAGGGUAAUAAGGCCCGGAGCAUGUCAACGGUCUCCAGUCAUUGAUUACAAUGGAAAGAAUAUGUUCAACAUCAUUGAAGCAAUCAACAAGCUCUUCGCUGCUCACGUGUAUUGGGUUAGAAACCACCCAGGAGCAAAUGAUGAUGCCACCACGUAAACCAAUAGCACCCACAUAGUUGCACAAUACCACCCAUUUAGUUGCACACCAGAGUAGAGCGGGUUGCACAGAACAGGGCUUGUAGUUGUAGACUCUCAACUUUUUGUUUAAUACACAAUAUUCUAAAGCACUGACCUUUGAACUUAACUUUCCUUCUCUUUUUUCAGCCCUGAGAUAGUAAACUAUGAUGGUUUCUACAUUUCUCUCAAUGAGUUGGUCGAUUACAUGAAGCCUCUUCAAUGGCUAUCAAGCAUGGUUAUUCAGAUUGCAAUCAUACACAUCAUCAAAAACUUACCACAAGGGUCAAGGGAAGUCAUUAUGCCAUUGAGGCUAUCUGAUUUGCCACAUGUUUACCAUCUCUGCAAGCGAAGUUACAGCAAGGGAUGUACAAUGUGCCACACAUAAACAAAAUAUUCAAAUACAAGAACCGACUUGACAAACAAGACAUGGUCAUGCUGUCGGUGCUUGAGUGCUCUGAUCCAAACCACCCUGAAGAAGGAACGCACUAUUGGGUCUUCAACGUAAACUUGAGGGAUGAAUGAUUCGAAGUUCUCAAUUCUAAUAGGAAGCUGGAGGACAUUGAGUUGAUGAACACCACCUCUACCAUCGCGGGGGCAGUACGGAUGCUAUGGAGGAAGCAUUACCCAAAGUCCAACAUUGAACACUUCGAUAUCAUUGACAUCGAUGUACCGAAGCAGCACGGGAAGUACGACAAGAAGCAUGUUAUUCUUCCAGAUCUAUAGUUUUUUAAAUUUUAUAGACGUACAAUUUUUGUUCUUCAAAUGAUUAUUUGUAUCAAGACACGCAAUUAGUUUGCACGGGAUAAUCUAGGCAGUUGCAAAGUGGACAUCAUUAGUUGGACAGUGGUACAUAAUUAGUUGCACAGUGGAAAC